rnacentral:rRNA from 1 species
CCUACGUGUGGCAGCAGUGAGGAAUAUUGGUCAAUGGGCGGAAGCCUGAACCAGCCAAGUAGCGUGCAGGAUGACGGCCCUACGGGUUGUAAACUGCUUUUAUACGGGAAUCACGCGCCUUACGUGUAGGGCUUUGCAUGUACCGUAUGAAUAAGGACCGGCUCAUUCCGUGCCAGCAGCCGCGGUAAUACGGAAGGUCCGGGCGUUAUCCGGAUUUAUUGGGUUUAAGGGGAGCGUAGGCCGCAUGUCAAGCGUGCUGUGAAAGGUCCGGGCUCAACCCGGGCCUUGCAGCGCGAACUGGCGUGAUUGAGUCCGCGGAAAGCAGGCGGAAUGCGUGGUGUAGCGGUGAAAUGCGUAGAGAUGACGAAGAACCCCGAUGGCGAAGGCAGCUUGCUGCAGCGGAACUGACGCUGAUGCUCGAAAGCGCGGGUAUCGAACAGGAUUAGAUACCCCGGUAGUC